rnacentral:tRNA from 1 species
GGCUUUAUAUUCAACAAUGAUAUUAGACUGCAAUUCUAAAGGAGUAAUAGAAUUAUUACUAAGGCUU